UACAUGGGGUGCAAACGUUGCUCGGAAUUAUUGGGCGUAAAGCGCGCGCAGGCGGUCCUUUAAGUCUGAUGUGAAAUCCCACGGCUCAACCGUGGAAGGGCAUUCGAAACUGCGAGGCUGGAGUCCUGGAGAGGAAAGUGGAAUACUCGGUGUAGAGGUGAAAUUCGUAGAUAUCGAGUGGAACACCGGUGGCAAAGGCGGCUUUCUGGACAGGUACUGGCGCUGAGACGCGAAAGCGUGGGGAGCAAACAGG
rnacentral:rRNA from 1 species